rnacentral:rRNA from 1 species
UACACUCCUGCGGGAGGCAGCAGUGGGGAAUUUUGGACAAUGGGCGAAAGCCUGAUCCAGCCAUGCCGCGUGCAGGAUGAAGGCCUUCGGGUUGUAAACUGCUUUUGUACGGAACGAAACGGCCUUUUCUAAUAAAGAGGGCUAAUGACGGUACCGUAAGAAUAAGCACCGGCUAACUACGUGCCAGCAGCCGCGGUAAUACGUAGGGUGCAAGCGUUAAUCGGAAUUACUGGGCGUAAAGCGUGCGCAGGCGGUUAUUUAAGACAGUUGUGAAAUCCCCGGGCUCAACCUGGGAACUGCAUCUGUGACUGCAUAGCUAGGGUACGGUAGAGGGGGAUGGAAUUCCGCGUGUAGCAGUGAAAUGCGUAGAUAUGCGGAGGAACACCGAUGGCGAAGGCAAUCCCCUGGACCUGUACUGACGCUCAUGCACGAAAGCGUGGGGAGCAAACAGGAUUAGAAACCCUGGUAGUCCCAUGAU